rnacentral:rRNA from 1 species
UACGGGGGGGGCAAGCGUUGUGCGGAAUUACUGGGCGGAAAGGGCUCGUAGGCGGCCAACUAAGUCAGACGUGAAAUCCCCAGGCUCAACCUGGGAACUGCGUCUGAUACUGGAUGGCUUGAAUCCGGGAGAGGGAUGCAGAAUUCCAGGUGUAGCGGUGAAAUGCGUAGAUAUCUGGAGGAAUACCGGUGGCGAAGGCGGCAUCCUGGACCGACAUUGACGCUGAUGAGCGAAAGCUAGGGGAGCAAACGGG